rnacentral:lncRNA from 1 species
GUUUUUUAAUGUGAAAAUAAAUGUUAAUGUAACAUAUGUUAAUAAAUAUGCAUAAUUAUAUAUAUAUAUAUAUGUAUAUAUGUAUAUAUAUCAAUUAAUAGAUGUUUGAUUGUAAAUAUAUUUGAAAUAGAAAAAUAGCUAUUGGAGAAGAAUUCUUAGUUUUAUACUGAACAUUAAAACAGCCCAAAUGAGACCUCUUAUUUCUGCUUCGCCAUGUUUUUCCAAAAUGCCUGUACCACUGUAUGACACACACGCAUCAUUACCUGCAAAACCUAUCUCCCACCACCAUUAUCCAUGCC